UUUUAUUCUUCCUCAAAUUCCAAUUUAUAAUUUGUAUAGUUUCUCCAUUUUCCAGACUUGUAGUUAAUGGCAUCUGUGUGACCUAUGAAUGAGAUUAGCCUAAGAAUUAUUCUUUACCUUUCCAUACCCCUAAUUAAUUUAUAAUUUGUAUAGUUUCUCCAUUUUCCAGACUUGUAGUUAAUGGCAUCUGUGUGACCUAUGAAUGAGAUUAGCCUAAGAAUUAUUCUUUACCUUUCCAUACCCCUAAUUAAUUGCAUUACCGGUACCUCAAACAUGCAUAAAUAACAUUCUGUGUUCAUUGUCAUAUGUAUGGUAUAGAAUUUGAUAUCCUCGAGCUCGUACUAGUAAUAGCAGCUGUAUUUGAUAUCAAUCAUGGCAUCAUCCUGAUUCCUAGUACAGUCUACCUAUUGAAUGAAAUUAUGUGUAGUUUUAAGCAUGUGUAUCUGUCUGUUUCCCACCCA
rnacentral:lncRNA from 1 species